AACUUAACUUAUUUAAUUAAGUUUGUUAACCUUACUUAGUUUACCUAAGUAAUCCCAACUUUUUUCUAUGCAAACUCAAGUCAACUUGAUUAAACUUAACAGAUUAAUUUAGCUCAACUUAAAAUUUCAAGUAUUUUCAAAAAGGAUGACUGCACAGUAGGUGGCAGUAAUGCUCCCAAGGAGUAAGUGGUGGCUUAACUGAGUGGUUAACUGAAGAAGACGACAACAGCACAUGGUCGGAUAAGAGCAUGAGGAGCAGGAGCUUGUUUCUUUGAAGAGAGUGCAUACCCUUCAUGGAAAGUCAGUAACGUUACUGUGGAGUACAACCAAGUCGCAAGCAAAAACCUCAAGCAAGAAUUGUUCUCAUCUCUUGCUAAACAUGGUUUUUGAAGAUUUUGAAUGAAAGAAAAGUUUAAAAGCUCUCGAGUAUCUAACAAACAUCACUGAUGUCAGUGCUCAGUGGACGGUAGUUCUCUGUGGUCUUGCUAUCCUUCUUGCGGAAGACACUACAGACUUCCGGAAAACAAACAUGGACUGUGAUGGUGACCCACUUCAACUAUCAUUAGGAAUUCUCAGUCUGGUGCCGGAGGACAGACACAUUUCUCCACAUGGUUUACAGCAAUUAUUUGGUAGGGUGUCACAGCCAUGGAUGGACUUGAGAAAGUAUCACAUGCCAUGUGUUUAGUUUUUGGACUGAUCGUUGUUUUAAAUAUGGAGUACCUCUUCACAGCUUAUUUUGAGUUUAUUCACAGGGUUUUUCUUUCCCUGGGGCACAAAUCACUAAAGUCAAAACUGCCAUAUACAAAACAUACUAAUGUGAAGUAGUGUGUUUUGUGUGAAACAAGUCCUUGUUACUGUAGAUCUGUUGCA